CGGGAGGCAGCAGUGGGGAAUAUUGGACAAUGGGCGAAAGCCUGAUCCAGCAAUGCCGCGUGAGUGAUGAAGGCCUUAGGGUUGUAAAGCUCUUUCACCCCGCCGACGAUCGAUCACAGUAGCCGGGAGCAU
rnacentral:rRNA from 1 species